rnacentral:lncRNA from 1 species
UCUCCAGAUUUAUUCUAUAUUGUUUAUUCAAUUUUUAGCUCUACUACACUAUCCUCGCACUACUAUGAUUCUUUUUUAAUUAAGCUCAUAACUAGGAAUUAACCAGUGAAUUCCUACUAUUACCGACUUGAUCAAAAAGCGACAAGUUAAUUGCUUCUGAUAGUUAGGUGCUGCCACAAACUAAAUCUAAAUGUUGCUUCUACUGUGUGUGCGCGUGCACUCAUUUCUGGACCCUACAAUAGUCAAGUGAACAUUGACAUUGAUCACUCAAAACAUACUUAGAAAGGGGAUCAGGAAAGGGAAAAUAAAAGGAUAUCAGGAAUUUAUUUGUACAAGAUUUGCACAAAGUAUGUUUAUUUAUUUUUCUGUUUUCAGAAUGAGGCAUGUGCAAAUGAGACAUGGCAAACAUUAGCCAAACAGUGUUCAAUACAACUAGGAAGGGAUCAUUAAGAUGAGUAGCAUACACAGGAAGCUUGAGCUAUUAGCUGUACAUGUAAAUCUUAGCAAGUUAAUAUUUGGGAUUUAAUUCUCAGCAUGACAUGUCUAUUAUAUACAUAGAUCUAGUACAAGACAGAGAUGGACAUGCAUAGUACACAUGCAUCACUAAACCACCAUGUACCAAUUUGUCUUCAUCUAAUUUAUGUGCUUUCUUUUUCUAACCAUCAUUCUUCUUUUUACAAAGUAACUAGAGUCCAAAAGAUCAGGUGUUCAUGUUCUAAGCAAAGGUGAAGAUGGAUCAAGCAAACAAAGCUGCAAAAGCAAGGCACUUGAAUAGUACCUGAUGGCAACUCAGCAUCCGACCAAAAGAGUGGAUGGGGAUGGUGGGGAGAGCUUGGUUCUCUCUUGUGCGUGUUGUGUGCAGUAGAGGAAGUCAAAGGUGAAAGGAGGAGGCUGCUAUUUAUAGUAGUGUAGGGUGCUAGGUCGGUUUGGUAAAAGAGAGAUGUGGCUGACAUGCAUGGUUGCAUGAGCAUGCAAGCCUCCACAUGUAAUCAUGUGAGUUGUACAACGGACAAGUGUAUAGUGCAUGGUUCGACACGAGAUGGCAUAUAAUUUGUGUGUAAGGAAUGAGACAAGGGCCUAAUUAUAAAUCUGCAAACAAUAAAGGAGUUGGAGAAGAACCAUUGUACAUGGCUAAAUACUAACUUUUUUGGUUGCAAUAAAUUUUUGAUAUUAGUGUUGUGGUCAAUUAUAAUUAUUCAACUAACUAUGCCUUGUGACACUGGUGUAACAUAGCGCCGUCAAAAAUAUUGUUAUCUAAUUUUGAGGGGUUUUACAUCCCUUCCCCCUUCGAAAAAUUUCGUCCUGAAAAUUUGAGUUGUGACUCGUAUAGGCUGGCCCAAGUCUAACCCUCUCAGUCUAAUCAUGUAUAGGCUAGCAUUAAAGAUUAUACACUCAAUGCAUAUGGGAUUGUUGUGAAAGACAUGCUCAACAAUUAUUGGGCCUCCGAGUGAGUCUACUUCUAUGAGUUUGGCUAGGGAGGUUCGGUCCAAACUACAUGUCUCAGCAAAGUGUCGGGAUAUGAAAGGAUAUGUUGCCCUUGAUGUAAUAAAAUAAAUAAUAAUAAUACUAAGACUACUGCAAGAGGGAUUUGUAGGUUACCGAUGACCCACAAGUGUAGGAAAUCUAUCGUAGUCCUUUCGAUAAGUAAGAGUGUCGAAUCCAAUGAGGAGCAGAAGGAAAUGAUAAGCGGUUUUCAGUAAGGUUUUCUUUGCAAGCACUGAAACUAUAGGUGAUAGAUAGUUUUGUGAUAAGAUAAAUAGUAACGAGUAACAAGUAAAUAAACUAAAUAAAGUGCAGCAAGGUGGCCCAAUCCUUUAUGUAGCAAAGGAUAAGCCUGGACAAUUUCUAAUAGUGAUAAAGGAGCUCCCGAGGAAACAUUGGGAAUUAUCGUCAAGCUAGUUUUCAUCACGUUCAUAUGAUUCGCGUUCGGUACUUUGAUAACUUGAUAUGUGGGUGGACCGGUACUUGGUUACUGCCCUAACUUGGACAAGCAUCCCACUUAUGAUUAACCCCUAUUGCAAUCAUCCGCAACUACAGAAGAAGUAUUAAGGUAAACCUAACCACAACAUUAAACAUAUGGAUCCAUAUAAACCCCUAACGAAGCAACGCAUAAACUAGGGUUUAAGCUUCUGUCACUCUAGCAACCCAUCAUCUACUUAUUACUUCCCCAUGCCUUCCUCUAGGCCCAAAUAAUGGUGAAGUGUCAUAUAGUCGACGUUCACAUAACACCACUAGAGGAAAAGACAACAUACAUCUCAUCAAAAUAUCGAAUGAAUACCAAAUUCACGUGACUACUAAUAGCAAGACUUCACCCAUGUCCUCAAAAACAAACGUAACUACUCACAAAGCAUAUUCAUGUUCAUAAUCAGAGGAGUAAUAAUAUGCAUAAAGGAUUUGAACAUAUGAUCUUCCACCAAGUAAACCAAUUAGCAUCAACUACAAGGAGUAAUCAACACUACUAGCAACCCACAGGUACCAAUUUGUGGUUUUGAUACAAGAUUGGAUACAAGAGAUGAACUAGGGUUUUGGGAGGAGAUGGUGUUGGUGAAGAUGUUGAUGGAGAUUGACCCCCUCCCGAUGAGAGGAUCAUUGGUGAUGACGUUGGUGAUGAUUUCCCCCUCCCGGAGGGAAGUGUCCCCGGCAGAAUAGCUCUGCCAGAGCCCUAGAUUGAUUCCGCCAAGAUUCCACCUCGUGGCGGCGGAGUUUCGUCCCGUAAGCUUGCCCACGAUUUUUUCCAGGGUAAAAGUGAUGAUAUGGCAGAAGAUGGACGUCGGAGGCCCACCAGGGGGCCCAGGAGAUAGGGGGGCGCGCCCCCUGUCUCCUGGACAGGGUGUGGGCCCCCUGGCAUAUUUCAGGACUUUUGGAGCUGUGCAGAAUAGGUUUUCAACGUUUGCUUCUUUUCUAGCCAAAAUUUCAGCUGCCGGCAUUCCCCCUCUUCAUGGUAAACCUUGUAAAAUAAGAGAGAAUAGCCAUAAGUAUUGAUAUAUAAUGUGUAAUAACAGCCCAUGAUGCAAUAAAUAUUGAUAUAAAAGCAUGAUGCAAAAUGGACGUAUCAACUCCCCCAAGCUUAGACCUCGCUUGUCCUCAAGCGGAAGCCGAAAUCGAAAAAUAUGUCCACAUGUUUAGAGAUAGAGGUGUCGAUAAAAAUAAAAUAUGGACAUGAGGGCAUCAUGAUCAUUCUAAUAACAACUACAUACAUAAAUUUUGUCAUAUCAUUCUCUAUGCUCAAGCUACAAGCAAUUCAUAAUGUCAAGUAUGGUUCAAAAACUUCAUUGGGAACUAACAAACUAUGAUCUCAGUCAUUGAAGCAAUUGCAAUUUAUCGUAACAUCAGAAAGAGUCAAUAAUGGAGCUUUUCAGCAAGCUCACAUACUCAACUAUCUCUUAGUCUUCUACAAUUGCUAACACUCACACAGUACUUGUGGUUAUAGAGUUUCAGCCGGACACUGAGAAAGAUAGGGGCUUAUUGUGUUGCCUCCCAACGUAUUCACCUUUAGGUGAUGUCAACAAUAAUAGCCCAUGCUAACUUACAUCCAAUUGGAUAUAUAUAUCAUGAUCUUUCAAACACGAGGAGCUUACCAAAGGAUAAAAUGAAAAAGGGACAGGUGAGGAUCACCUUGACUCAAGCAUAAAGUAAAAACAUAAAGUAAAAGAUAGGCCCUUCGCAGAGGGAAGCAGAGGUUGUCAUGUGCGUUUAGGGUUGAUGCACAAAAUCUUAAUGCAAAAGAACGUCACUUUAUAUUGCCCCUUGUAUGUGGACCUUUAUUAUGCAGUCCGUCGCUUUUAUUACUUCCACAAUAAGUUCGUACAAAGCUUAUUUUCUCUGCACUAAUAAGUCAUACAUAUUUAGGUAGCAAUUUUCUCGCUUGCAACAUGACAACUUACUUGAAGGAUCUUACUCAAUCCAUAGGUAGGUAUGGUGGACUCUCAUGGCAAAACUGGGUUUAAGGGUAUUUGGAAGCACAAGUAGUAUCUCUACUUGGUGCAAGGAAUUUGGCUAGCAUGAGGGGGAAAGGCAAGCUCAAUAUGUUCGGAAGGUCAAUGACAAUAUACUUUAACUGAGAUGUCGGAAAACAUAGACCAUUACGUUGUCUUCCUUGUCCAACAUCAACUAUUUUAGCAUGUCAUACUUAAUGAGUGCUUCACAAUCAUAAAAGAUGUCCAAGAUAAUAUAUUUAUAUGUGAACCCCUCUUUCCUUAUCACUUCCUAUUAAUUGCGACGAUGACCAAGGCUACGUUCAUCAACUCUCAACAAUUUUUAUGCCUCAUACGUUCUAUGUGUGAAGUUAUCACUAUCCAUAAGAUCAAUAUGAACUUCAUUAUUCUUUCUACUUUCUCAAGAUCAUAGCAACAUAGCAAGGCCCUUGACUCGACACUAAUCUUUAUUAUAGAUAACUCGCGGACUCGAUUACAAAAAGAGAUCACAAAGCAAAACUCGAAACUACUUGAUACCUAAAUUUCAAUCUACUAGAUCAAGAUACUACUAAAAGGAUCGAACUAAAUAAAACGGUAAAGAUAGGAGUGUGAUGAUGAUACGAUACCGGGGCACCUCCCCCAAGCUUGGCAGUUGCCAAGGGGAGUGCCCAUAUCCAUGUGAUUAUGUCCUCGGAGGUGGUGAAGUAGGAGUUGUUUAUGAUGUAGGCUUGUCGUCCGUCUUCCAAGGCAUCUGCUCUCCAUCAUAAAAGGGUGAACGAGUCUCCGGGAUCCUUAAAUCUGCAGCCAAACUCAUUCGCUUGAAUCUAUAUUCAUACUCACAGUUCUGGUUUUGUAGGUCAUAGAUCUGGGCUUGGAGGUGCUCGAUUUUCUCUUGAAGCUUGAAGAUGGUCUCCCAAAUGACUUUAGCAUCUAGCUUGUGGUUGUUUGUGAACUCCGUGAUCAUCAUCUAGUUGGCGUUGAGUCCACGCUCCACCAUCCCUUGGCACUUGAAAACUUCCUGUUCCACGGCUUCGAGCUUUGUCUCCACGCUCCCGGUACGCCUUGGUCCCUCCACAUCGCGGAUGUGCAGCACCCCCUCACGCAUCUCAAUGGUUUGAGGAUGAUGCAGCACCUCCGCGAGAUAGGGGUUGAUAACCCUCUCGAAAAACUUGUCCUUGGGAGCGCUUGGAGACGCCAUGAUGCUCUAGAUCUGAAACAGUAACAACUCGAAACGAAAACAGUGGAUAUUUGCGUGAUACGGUGGUCAAAACCUUCGGGAGUAUAUAUAAUGAAUUUUUAUCGACCAAAAUACAUAACGUGCAAGAAAACGGAGUCCGGGAGGCACACGAGGUGCCCACGAGACAGGGGGCGCGCCCUACAAGGGGGGGUGCCCUCCACUCUCGUGGGGGCCUCGUGUCCCUUUCUGACUACUUCUUUCUUCCUAAAAUUCUUAAAUAAUUCAAAACUGAUAAAAAUUGCCAUUAGAGUUGUUUUGGAGUCGGUUUACUUACCGUACCACAUACCGAUACCUUUUCGGAGUCUGGAACGUUCUGGAAAGUGUCCCUUAUGUAUUCCUCGAGGGUUACUGUUUCAAUAAUAUUAGUUUCAACAUUGAUAGGAUUACCUGAAAUAUAAUGUUUAUUUCUUUGACCGUUUACCACCCUCGGAUUUGUGCCUUCGAAGUUGUUGAUUUUUAUAGCACCAGAACGAUAGACCUCCUCGAUAACGUAGGGACCUUCCCAUUUUGAGAGAAGUUUUCCUGCAAAAAAAAUUAAACGAGAGUUGAAUAAUAACACAUAAUCUCCUACAUUAAACUCACGCUUUUGUAUCCUCUUAUCAUGCCAGUGUUUGACUUUUUCUUUGAAUAGCUUGGCAUUCUCAUAUGCUUGGGUUCUCCAUUCAUCAAGUGAGCUAAUAUCAAACAACCUCUUCUCACCGGCAAGUUUGAAGUCAUAAUUGAGCUCUUUGAUAGCCCAAUAUGCCUUAUGUUCAAGUUCAAGAGGUAAAUGACACGCUUUUCCAUAAACCAUCUUAUAUGGAGACAUACCCAUAGAAUUUUUGUAUGCAGUUCUAUAGGCCCAUAAUGCAUCAUCAAGUUUUUUGGACCAAUUCUUUCUAGAUCUAUUCACAGUCUUUUGUAAAAUUAAUUUGAGCUCUCUAUUGCUCAACUCUACAUGACCACUAGACUGCGGAUGAUAAGGAGAUGCUAUUCUAUGAUUGACAUCAUACUUAGCAAGCAUCUUACGGAAAGCACCAUGAAUAAAAUGUGAACCACCAUCAGUCAUAAGAUAUCUAGGGACUCCAAACCCCGGAAAAAUAACUUCUUUAAGCAUUUUAAUAGAAGUGUUAUGAUCAACACUACUAGUUGGAAUAACUUCUACCCACUUAGUAAUGUAAUCAACAACAACUAAAAUAUGUGUAUAACCAUUAGAGGCAGGAAAAGGUCCCAUAUAAUCAAAGCCCCAAACAUCAAACAGUUCAAUAACAAGAGAAUAAUUCUUAGGCAUUUCUUGACGUCUACUAAUGUUACCUAUUCUUUGACAUUCAUCACAAGAUAAGACAAACUUACGAGCAUCUUUAAAGAGAGUAGGCCAAUAAAAACCAAAUUGUAGUACCUCGUGUGCAGUUCUAUCUCCAGCGUGGUGUCCCCCAUAAGAUUCAGAGUGACACUUGCGUAGAAUCUGUUCCUGUUCAUGCUCAGGCACCCAACGUCUAAUAACACCAUCUACUCCUUUAUAAAGGUGUGGAUCAUCCCAGAAGUAAUGUCUUAAAUCAUAGAAGAACUUUUUCUUUUGCUGGUAUGUGAAACUAGGCGGUAUAUAUUUAGCAACAAUGUAAUUAGCAUAAUCAGCAUACCAAGGAGCAGUACGAGAAGCAUUGACGACCGCUAAUUGUUCAUCAGGAAAGCUAUCAUUAAUAAGCAGUGGGUCAUCAAUAACAUUCUCUAACCUAGACAAGUUGUCUGCAACGGGGUUCUCAGCUCCCUUUCUAUCAAUAAUAUGCAAGUCAAAUUCUUGGAACAAGAGAACACAUCUAAUGAGUCUAGGCUUAGCAUCUUUAUUUUCCAUAAGAUAUUUAAUAGCAGCAUGAUCAGUGUGAAUAGUAACUUUGGAAUCAACAAUAUAAGGUCUAAACUUAUCACAUGCAAACACAACUGCUAAGAACUCUUUUUCAGUAGUAGCAUAAUUUCUCUGGGAAGUAUCAAGAGUCUUACUAGCAUACUGGAUAGCAUUCAAUUUCUUAUCGACUCUUUGCCUUAAAACAACACCUACAGCAUAAUCACUAGCAUCGCACAUAAUUUCAAAAGGUAAAUUCCAAUCAGGCAGCUGAACAAUAGGUGCAGUGAUCAAAGCUUUCUUAAGUACUUCAAAUUCUUCUACACAAUCAUCAUCAAAGAAAAGGAAUAUCUUUUUGCAAUAAAUUAGCCAGAGGCCUAGAGAUUUUAGAAAAGUCCUGAAUGAACCUCCUAUAAAAACCGGCGUGAGCAAGGAAACUUCUUAUACCUUUUAUGUCCUUGGGACAUGGCAUCUUUUCAAUAGCAUCAUUGGCCUUAUCAACUUCAAUACUUCUCUCAGAGAUCUUGUGCCCCAAGACAAUGCCUUCAUUAACCAUAAAGUGACACUUUUCCCAAUUCAAGACGAGACUAGUGUCUUCGCAUCUCUGCAAAACUCGAUCAAGAUUGCUCAAACAAUCAUCAAAAGAGGAUCCAUAGACUGAGAAGUCAUCCAUGAAUACCUCACAAAUCUUUUCACAAAAAUCAGAGAAUAUAGCCAUCAUGCCUCUUUGAAAGGUUGCAGGUGUAUUACAUAAACCAAAAGGCAUAUGUCUAUAAGCAAAAGUACCAAAAGGGCAAGUAAAAGUAGUUUUAGAUUGAUCCUUCGCUGAUACAGGUAUCUGAGAGAAACCAGAAUAACCAUCUAGAAAGCAGAAAUGUGCGUGUUUGGAUAGUCUUUCUAGAAUUUGAUCAAUAAAAGGUAAAGCAUAAUGAUCUUUCUUAGUAGCUUUAUUUAACUUACGGAAAUCAAUUACCAUCCUAUAACCUGUAAUAAUUCUUUGCGGGAUCAAUUCAUCUUUAUCAUUAGGAACAACGGUAAUACCUCCCUUUUUAGGAACACAAUGAACAGGGCUUACCCAUUCAGUAUUAGCAACGGGAUAAAUAAUACCUGCCUCAAGGAGUUUUAGUAUCUUCUUUCUUACCACUUCUUUCAUCUUGGGAUUUAAUCGUCUUUGAGGAUCUCUAACUGGUUUGGCAUCUUUCUCCACUGAAAUUUUGUGUUGACAUAAUGUGGGACUAAUGCCCUUAAGAUCAUCCAGAGUAUAUUCAAUAGUUGCUCGGUGCUUCUUCAGAGUUUUCAAUAAUCUUUCUUCUUCUUUCUCUGAAAUGUUAGCACUAAUAAUAACAUGAUAUAUUUCUUUUUCAUCAAGAUAAGCAUACUUAAGAUUAUCAAGUAAGGGUUUAAGUUCAAACACGGGAUCACCCUUGGGUGGAGGGGGAUCCCCAAGAAUUUCAACGGGAAGGUUAUGUUUCAGCAUAGGUUCCUGUUUAAGGAACACUUCAUCUAUUUCCUCCCUUUCCUUCAUAAACAUAUCGUUUUCAUGGUCUAGCAAAUAUUGUUCUAAAGGAUCGGUUGGAGGAACAACAAUGGAAGCAAGACCAAUAAUUUCAUCCUUACUAGGUGGUUCCCUUUCACGAGGUUGUCUACUAAACUUAGCGAAAUUAAACUCAUGAGACAUACCAUCAAUGCCAACAGUGACAAUAUUCUUUUCACAAUUGAUCUUAGCACUAGCAGUAUUCAAGAAGGGUCUACCAAAAAUAAUGAGAUAAAAAUCAUCUUGUGGGGAACCAAGAACAAGAAAACCAGCAGGGUAUUUAACCUUCCCACACAAAACUUCAACAUCUCUAACAAUCCCAAUAGGUUUAAUGGUAUCCCUAUUAGCAAGCUAAUAGUAACAUCAAUGUCUUCUAAUUCAACAGGUGCAAUGUCAUGCAUAAUUUCUUUAUAUAAAUCAUAAGGUAUCGCACUAGCACUAGCACCCAUAUCACAUAAGCCAUGAUAACAAUGGUCUCCUAUUUUAACAGAAAUAACAGGCAUGCCUACGACAGGUCUACGUGUCUUAGUAUCAGGUCUAGCAAUAUUGGCAGUCUCACCCAAGAAAGAAAUAACAUGCCCAUCUAAAUCCUCAUCCAAGAGAUCUUUAACCAUAGCAAUACUAGGUUCAACAUUAAUUUGCUCAGGAGGUGUAUAAGUCCUAGUAUUACUCUUAUGAACAACAGUCGAAGCAUUAGCAUGAUCUUUUAUCCUAACAGGAAAAGGAGGUUUUUCAACAUAAGCGGUAGGAACAAUAGGAUCACUAUAGGUAAUAGUCUUUUCUUCGACUGUAAUAGGUGCAACUACUUUCACUUCAACAGGAGGAUUAUAUUUAAACCACUUCUCUUUAGGGAGAUCAACGUGAGUAGCAAAAGAUUCACAGAAAGUAGCUACUAUCUCAGAGUCAAGUCCAUACUUAGCGCUAAAUCCACGGAAAGCAUCGGUAUCCAUAAAAGAUUUAACACAAUCGAACUUAGGUGUCAUACCUGACUCCUUACCAUCGUUGGAACCCCAAUCUUCAGAGUUGCGUUUAAUUCUUUCCAAUAAGUCCCAUUUGAAAUCAGUAGUCUUCAGCAUAUAAGAACUAGCACAAGAAGUAUCGAGCAGGUUGCGAUUAUCAAGAGAAAGCCGAGCAUAAAGGUUCUGAAUAAUCAUUUCCCGAGAGAGCUCAUGAUUGGGGCAUGAAUAUAACAUUGACUUAAGCCUCCCCCAAGCUUUAGCGAUGCUUUCUCCUUCGCGAGGCAAGAAAUUAUAUAUGUAAUUACGAUCACGAUGAACAAGAUGCAUAGGAUAGAACUUUUGGUGAAAUUCCAACUUCAAUCGCUUAUAAUGCCAAGAUCCCAUAUCAUCACAUAGCCUAUACCAUGUCAAUGCAUCUCCCUUCAAAGAUAAAGGGAAGACCUUCCUUUUGACAACAUCAUCGGGAAUACCUGCAGGCUUAAAUAAUCCACAAACUUCAUCCACAAAGAUAAGGUGUAAAUCGGGAUGCAAUGUUCCGUCUCCUGCAAAUGGAUUAGCUAGCAGUUUUCUAUCAUACCCGAAGGAAUCUCAAAGUAAAUAUUUUCGUAAAGUUCAGUAGGUUGAGAAGAAACUCUUUGCUCUUCUGGUUGGGGUGAAGAUACCCCAAACAAGCCCCUCAAAGGAUUAGUUUCCAUAGUGACAAGUAACAGAAAAUCUCAGCACACUAUAUAAAUGUUUCUUUACCAAGUUCCACUCACCAAAAGCGCUACACUCCCCGGCAACGGCGCCAGAAAAGAGUCUUGAUGACCCACAAGUGUAGGGGAUCUAUCGUAUUCCUUUCGAUAAGUAAGAGUGUCGAACCCAACGAGGAGCAGAAGGAAAUGAUAAGCGGUUUUCAGUAAGGUUUUCUCUGCAAGCACUGAAACUGUAGGUGAUAGAUAGUUUUGUGAUAAGAUAAAUAGUAACGAGUAACAAGUAAAUAAAGUAAAUAAAGUGCAGCAAUGUGGCCCAAUCCUUUAUGUAGCAAAGGAUAAGCCUGGACAAUUUCUAAUAGUGAUAAAGGAGCUCCUGAUGACACAUUGGAAAUUAUCGCCAAGCUAGUUUUCAUCACGUUCAUAUGAUUCACGUUCGGUACUUUGAUAAUUUGAUAUGUGGGUGGACCGGUACUUGGGUACUGCCCUAACUUGGACAAGCAUCCCACUUAUGAUUAACCCCUAUUGCAAGCAUCUGCAACUACAAAAGAAGUAUUAAGGUAAACAUAACCACAACAUUAAACAUAUGGAUCCAUAUAAACCCCUAACGAAGCAACACAUAAACUAGGGUUUAAGCUUCUGUCACUCUAGCAACCCAUCAUCUACUUAUUACAUCCCCAUGCCUUCCUCUAGGCCCAAAUAAUGUCGAACUGUCAUGCAGUCGACGUUCACAUAACACCACUAGAGGAAAAGACAACAUACAUCUCAUCAAAAUAUCGAACGAAUACCAAAUUCACAUGACUACUAAUAGCAAGACUUCACCCAUGUCCUCAGGAACAAAUGUAACUACUCACAAAGCAUAUUCAUGUUCAUAAUCAGAGGAGUAAUAAUAUGCAUAAAGGAUCUGAACAUAUGAUCUUCCACCAAGUAAACCAAUUAGCAUCAACUACAAGGAGUAAUCAACACUACUAGCAACCCACAGGUACCAAUUUGUGGUUUUGAUACAAGAUUGGAUAUAAGAGAUGAACUAGGGUUUUGGGAGGAGAUGGUGCUGGUGAAGAUGUUGAUGGAGAUUGACUCCCUCCCGAUGAGAGGAUCGUUGGUGAUGACGUUGGUGAUGAUUUCCCCCUCCCGGAGGGAAGUGUCCCCGGCAGAACAGCUCUACCAGAGCCCUAGAUUGAUUCCGCCAAGGUUCCGCCUCGUGGCGGUGGAGUUUUGUCCCGUAAGAUUGCCCAUGAUUUUUUUCAGGGUAAAAUUGAUGAUAUAGCAGAAGAUAGACGCCGGAGGCCCAACAGGGGUCCCAGGAGACAGGGGGUGCGCCCUAUAGGGGGGGCGCCCCCCUGUCUCCUGGACAGGGUGUGGCCCCCUGGCAUAUUUCUUUCGCUCAGAAAUUCUUAUUAAUUCCAAAAGGUUGUUUCGUGGAGUUUCAGGGCUUUUGGAGCUGUGCAGAAUAGGUUUCCAAUGUUUGCUCCUUUUCCAGCCAGAAUUCCAAUUGUCGGCAUUCCCCCUCUUCAUGGUAAACCUUGUAAAAUAAGAGAGAAUAGCCAUAAGUAUUGAGAUAUAAUAUGUAAUAAUAGCCCAUAAUGUAAUAAAUAUUGAUAUAAAAGCAUGAUGCAAAAUGGACAUAUCAGUUACCCGUGACCACGUCCGAAGCUGCAUUCACUUGUGUCGCAUCCAUGUGUUUCAGGUGGUAUGGUACACGUGCUAGACCACUAGGACCACGUCCGCGGCUAGCCACAGGCGCAUUCGCACGUACUUGUGCUGAAUUAGCCUGACGCUUGUUUUGAGGUGGGACAGUUCCACUCGUGCUAGGUUGUGGUUGACUCUUACUCGGGCAUUUGUUUUGUAGUGACCCUUUUGUCCACAACCAAAACAGACAACACUCGCCUUUGGGCAAUCUCGAGCGGUGUGUGGUCCAACGGACACAUGACACUUGAUAGGGGCUUUAGGAGGCAUAAAGGGUGGUCUAGGGGCUUGAGGGAGAGGAGGACAGAUGGGUCCGACCAUUGGUGGGCGGACUAGGCCAACAGAGUUGUAUCCACUCCUCAUGAGGAACCUCUGGUCCAUUCUAGAUUUCUUUCUCCGUUCUUCCUCUAUGGCUAAUUGCCGAUUCUCAAUAAUAAUGACUCAAUCUACUAGCUCCCGAAACUUAGUUAUAUUUAUAGGGGCUAUGAUCAGCUGUAUGGAUGGCUUCAAUCCUUCUAUGAACCGGUACACCCUUUUGGUCUCAGUGUUUGUGUCUUCUGAUGCAUAGCGGGAUAGUGAGUUAAACUCACCUAGGUACUCUGCGAUGGUUUUAGACCCUUGUUUAAGGCUUAGGAAUUCCUUACUUUUUAGUUCCAUCGCACUUUGCGGGACAUAGUUAUCUCGGAAUCUCCUCUUAAAUUCCUCCCAAGUAACUAUGUGGUUUUCGGGUAUGAUAAUUUGGACAUUUCUCCACCAUGUGGCAGCAGGACCAAUUAACCGAUGGGAUGCAUACCGAACUUUUUCUUGAUCCGUGCAUCCCACAGUGUUAAGUUUCAGCUCUAUGUCCAUCAACCAAUCCUCAGCGGCUAAUGGAUUGUGGCGGUUGAAAAGGUUGGUGGUCUAGUCUUUUGGAAGUCUCCAAUCGUGACACCUUGUUCUGGGUUUUUAGUCAGUUGGCCUCUCGUCAUACUGAACAUCUGCUCCAUGAACUUAUUCUGGUGUUCUAGAGAGUCUCGAUGAGACUGAUCCAUCCACUGAUACAUUAGAGCAAGUUGAUCGGAUCCAGGGGCAUGAUGGGGUAAUGGUGGAGGUGGAGGUAACGUCACUCUAGACAGCAAAUCUGCCAUGUUCCUUAGCCACUCGGGUGCUAAAUCUGAUGGGUUCCCAUUGUCUUCGAAUGACUGACUACCAGAUGCCAUCGCUACCGAUCUGGUGGGCAAGGCAUAGGUUAUAACGAUAGCUACUACAUGUGAAAAUAUUUUAUUUAUUUGAUUAGAGGUGAGAUUUUAGCCCACACAGUACACUUCACGCUUCCUUUUUUGGAGCAUCUAUUUAAACAGUGCACUUAACAGCGACAUACUAGAAAAUUUUGCGAAACAUUUUUUUUACUUGUUGUUGGCCGAAGAAUAAAAGCAGUCAAACAAAGUGAUUCUUUUUAUCAUGACAGAGGCAAGAGAUUAAUCACAAUUCAAAAAUAGAGCCACUUGCACAUGCACAUGCACACACAAGUUCUUCACGUACCGGAUUAAAAGCAUUCAAUCAUCAAGUGCGUGACAUACAUCAAUUGAACUCAUGAAGUGCUAGGAAAAAUGUAGCAGCAUCAGCACAUAAUAUAUAUACUAGCCCAACACAUGAUGUACCAAGGCAUGGACUUGAAUGAAGAGAUCACCCGAAAAAAUCUACCAUACAUCAGACGCCAUUAUGAAGCAUUGGCAACAACGUGGCAACAACAUCACAUACAGUAUUCCAUCAUACAGAGCAAGGAGCAUAAAAAGAACCAGAAUUUAAAAUGACAUGGCAUAUGCGUCACACGAGAUCACCUAGUAGUAGAAUAUCAGUACAUCCAUAAGUCCACCGGUCCACAUGAAUACAUCACAUAACAUAAUCGCAACACCACACAUGACUAUUUGUCGUACCAUCAGGUUACCAUGACUAUCUAUAUAUGUACCUAGAAAAAAGUAUAUAUGUCUCCCUAUCUGCCUGUCGGGACCAAUCUGGGUAAAUAUGGCUGUGUAAACUCUAGAAGGGUAGCUAUGUCUACAAGACCUUUCUAAUUAUGUACAAAAUCCAAAAGGACAGCCUCCAUGCAUCUGCCUAAACAUCUAAUAAGUGGUGGAACUAACUCUGCGAGGAGUAACUAUCUAGCAUGAUGCCACAACCUUGCUAGAAAACUAACUACUACUACUAAUAGUACGAAGUCAAUCCUCCCUGAUGAGAAGACUAGGUGAAAUGGUGAGGAGCAAGUCGGGGUUGAGGACAGAAGUCGGUGAAGGUAUAGACUGACUGGGUGCGGUGCCUCUGAAGAGUGCCUACUUGGUCUAACAGGUCCUGAACAAGCUGAGGUGUAGGUGGACACCCGUAUGGUGUAGAGGGAUGAGACACUGCUCGAGCGGGGGAACCCCUAAAAACUCUAGGAGUUGGGCAGUCUGCACGAGUGGGUGGAACUGCUGGGUACAAAUGAGGAAGAGCGGCAGUCAGAGUUAGUGGUGGUAAAAACGUGAGAGGUAAAACAGGAGGACGUGGUGGAAGUGGAAGGAAAGCAAAAGUGGACGCAAAAAGGUGAAGGAGCGACAGUGGGUGGAGGUGCUGACGAAUUCCCUGAUUACUCUUAUUGAUGAGCCAAUUGCCUCUACCACGCAAACAAGGAGAAGGUGGCAGGCAUGGAAAAUAUGUAAAGUGGCAUUCCAUGCCGCACCCUAAAGUGCUGAAGCAAAGUUGUAUUGUGCGACACUAUGCCUAGAUGGGACAUCUAAGCCCUCGGGUAUGUGCACUGUGACUAAGUACCCCGUGGAAUGAUACAUCUCUAAUGUAUCUAUAAUUUUUGAUUGUUCCAUGCUAUUACAUUACCCCUUUUAGAUGUUUAUGGGCUUUAUUUUACACAUUUAUAUCAUUUUUUGGGACUAACCUACUAACCGAAGGCCCAGCCCAUAUUGUUGUUUUUUUGCCUAUUUCAGUAUUUUGAAGAAAAGGAAUAUCAAACGGAGUCCAAACGGAAUGAAACCUUCGGCAACAUGAUUUUUUGGAAGAAUAUGAUCCUGGAGACAUCGAGUCCAUGUCAGAAGAUCCUCGAGGGGGCCACGAGAUAGGAGGUCGCGCCCCCCUUACAGGGUGGUGGCCUCCUGUCUCGUGGGCCCCUCGAGCACCUCCCGACCGACUUCUUUCGCCUAUAUAAGCCUACGCACCCUAAAACCAUCAAAAAUCAAGAUAGAUUGGGAGUUCCGCCGCCGCAAGCCUCUGUAGCCACCAAAAACCUCUCGGGAGCCUGUGCCGGCACCCUGCCGGAGGGGGAAUCCAUCACCGGUGGCCAUCUUCAACAUCCCAGCGCUCUCCAUGACAAGGAGGGAGUAGUUCACCCUCGGGGCUGAGGGUAUGUACCAGUAGCUAUGUGUUUGAUCUCUCUCUCUCGUGUUCCCUCUAUGACACGAUCUUGAUGUAUCCCGAGCUUUGCUAUUGUAGUUGGAUCUUAUGAUGUUUCUCCCCCUCUACUCUGUUGUGAUGAAUUGAGUUUUCCUCUUGAAGUUAUCUUAUCGGAUUGAGUCAUUUAUUUGAGAACACUUGAUGUAUGUAUUGCCCUGUUUAUCUGUGAUGGAAAUGAGAUAUCACGUGCCUCUUGAUGUAUGUUUUGGUGACCAACUUGCGGGUUCCGCCCAUGAACCUAUGCAUAGGGGUUGGCACACGUUCUUGACUCUCCGGUAGAAACUUUGGGGCACUCUUUGAAGUACUUUGUGUUGGUUGAAUUGAUGAAUCUGAGAUUGUGUGAUGCAUAUCGUAUAAUCAUGCCCACGGAUACUUGAGGUGACAAUGGAGUAUCUAGGUGACACUAGGGUUUUGGUUGAUUUGUGUCUUAAGGUGUUAUUCUAGUACGAACUCUUGAAUAGAUUGAUCUGAAAGAAUAACUUUGAGGUGGUUUCGUACCCUACCAUAAUCUCUUCGUUUGUUCUGCGCUAUUAGUGGCUUUGGAGUGACUCUUUGUUGCAUGUUGAGGGAUUUCUAUAUGAUCUAUCUAUGUUAUUAUUGUUGAGAGAACUUGCACUAGUGAAAGUAUGAACCCUAGGCCUUGUUUUCUAUCAUUGCAAUACCGUUUACACUCACUUUUAUCAUUAGUUACCUUGCUGUUUUUAUAUUUUCAGAUUAGAAAUACCUAUAUCUACCAUCCAUAUUGCACUUGUAUCACCAUCUCGUCGCCGAACUAGUGCACCUAUACAAUAUACCAUUGUAUUGGGUGUGUUGGGGACACAAGAGACUCUUUAUUAUUUGGUUGCAGAGUUAUUUGAAAGAGACCAUAUUCAUCCUACGCCUCCUACGGAUUGAUAAACCUUAGGUCAUCCACUUGAGGGAAAUUUUCUACUGUCCUACAAACCUGUGCACUUGCAGGCCCAACAAUGUCUACAAGAAGAAGGUUGUGUAGUAGACAUCAAGCUCUUUUCUGGCGCCAUUGCCAGGGAGGUUAGCGCUUGAAGGUAUAUCUUUAGAUCUUGCAAUCGAAUCUUUUUGUUUCUUAUUUUAUCACUAGUUUAGUUUAUAAAAAAAACUAUAAAAAAUGGAGUUAAGUUUGUCUCAUAUUAUCUUUUUAAUAUCUUUCGUGAGCAUGAUGGAAAGGAAAAUUGUGCUCAAGUGCUAGAAGAAGAAUGCAUUAAAAUACUUGGUAGUAAAUCUUUGAAUGAUGAGCAUGAUUGCAAUGUUGUUAGUAUGAAUUCCUUGAAUAUCCGUGAUGCUAAUGAUAUGCAAAGCCACAAGCUUGGGGAAGAUAUGUUUGAUGAAUAUGAUAUAUUUUGUCCCCCAAGCUUUGAUGAGCAAAUUUAUUUUGAUGAUAGCAUGCCUCCUAUUUAUGAUGAUUAUAUUGAUGAAAGUGGGUUUGGAAGAGUGUCAACUUUAGGAAGUAGUGAUCCCACUAUUUUGGAGGAUGUUGAAUCUUAUUAUGAUGAACAUGAAAGUGGAUUUGGAAGAGUGUAAACUUUAUUUAGUGAUGAAUCCACUAUUUCGGAAGAGGUUCCAAUUGAUUAUGAGAACAAAGUUGCUAUCUAUGAUGAUUAUUGUGAUGACCAUGAAACUUGUCAUCAUGAUUUUAGUUUUGAAUUGGAUUAUGCCUCACAUGAUAAUUAUUUUGUUGAGUUUGCUCCCACUAUUAUUCGUGAGAAGAAAUUUGCUUAUGUGGAGGGUAGUAAAUUUUAUAUGCUUGUAGAUCAUGAAAAGAAUGCUUUAGAUGCUGGUUAUAUUGUUGAAUUCAUUCAUGAUGCUACUGAAAAUUAUUAUGAGGGAGGAACAUAUGCUUGUAGGAAUUGCAAUAACGUCAAGUUUCCUCUCUAUGUGCUUACAUUUUUGAAGCUAUGCUUGUUUUACCUUCCUAUGGUAGUUGAUUAUUGUUCCCAUAAGUUGUUUGCUCACAAAAUCCCUAUGCAUAGGAAGUGGGUUAGGCUUAAAUGUGCUAGUCAUAUGCUUCAUGAUGCUUCCGUUAUGUUUCAAUUCUUAUCUUUUUGUGAGCAUCAUUGUCAUCAUCAUGCCUAGCUAGAAAAGCAUUAAAGAAAAGCGCUUGUUGGGAGACAACCCAAUAUUUAUCCUUACUGUUUUUGUGUGUCCACAUGAUUAUGCUACUGUAGUAAUCAUGUUUUACAGCUUUUGUUUCAAUAAAGUGUCAAGUAAGACCUUUAGGGUAGCUUAUGGUGAUAGUUGUGUUGAUCCUGCUGAAAAUCAGAAACUUUUUCACCCAGUAAUUUAAUUUUUUUAAUUCACAGAAACGUUCUUCUGGUCUGAUUCUUUUUUCUCUGGAUUGGUACACAAAUUUCUUAGAACUUCCUAAUGUUGUAGGAUUUUUGGAGUUCCAGAAGUAUACGUUUGAUACAGAUUACUACAGACUGUUCUAUUUUUGACAGAUUCUAUUUUCUAUGUGUUGUUUGCUUAUUUUGAUGAAUCUAUGAGUAGUAUCAUAGGAUAUGAACCAUAGAUAAGUUGUAGUACAGUAGAUAUUACACCAAUAUGAAUUUAGAAUGAGUUCAUUACAGUACCUAAGCGGUGGUUUUAGUUUCUUAUACUAAAGGAGCUUACGAGUUUUCUGUUGAGUUUUGUGUUGUGGAGUUUUCAAGUUUUGGGUAAAGAUUCGAUGGACUAUGGAAUAAGGAGUGGCAAGAGCCUAAGCUUGGGGAUGCCCAAGGCACCCCAAGUUAAUAUUCGAGAAUAGCCAAAAGUCUAAGCUUGGGGAUUCCCCAGAAGGCAUCCCCUCUUUCGUCUUCGUUCAUCGGUAACUUUACUUGGAGCUAUAUUUUAUAUUCACCACAUGAUAUGUGUUUUGCUUGGAGCGUAAUUUUCUUUUCUUAGUAUUUUCUUGCUGUUAUUUAGAAUAAUGUUUUGCAUCUUUAGUUUCAAUAAAAAAGUCAAGGAUAGCCUUUGCCAUGCUUAUUUUGCUAGUAUACAUGUUGUUGUUUGAAAACAGAAAGUUUACCGCUGUUGCAAAAAUUCCCUAGAAAAUUCAGAGAAUGGUAUAAUGUUGAAACCUUUUUCAUGAUGAGAUCUGAUAAAUUUACUACAGUGGGAAUUUUAUUUCAUAAUUUUUGGAGUUAGGGAAGUAUGGAUACUCUUGCAUUUUUUAUAGACUGUACUGUUUUGGCAGAUUGCUGUUAUGUUUGCAUUGUUUGCAUAUGUUUGCUUGUUUAAUAAUUCUAUUUGAGGAUAGGAAUAUUAAAUAUGCAGAGGCAUUUAGUAUGAAAUGUUGAACAAUAAUUUUAUUGAUUUGUUACAGUAGAAUAUGAUAAGGUUUUGCAUUGGUUUAUACUAACCUAUCUCACGAGUUUUUGUUGAGUUUGUUGUGAAUGAAGCUUUUGAGAAAUAGAGAAUUCAUGAUAUGAGAGAAAUUAAGGAGACACAAAAGUUCAAUAUUAGGGAUGCCCAAGGCACUCCAACAUAAUAUUCAAGAAGUCUCAAGCAUCUAAGCUUGGGGAUGCCCCGGUAGGCAUCCCACCUUUCUUCUUCAACAACUAUCAAUUAGUAUCGGUUGAGCCUAAGUUUUUGCUUCUUCACAUGAGUUGUGCUAUCCUUACAAUGUCAUUUUAUUUUAUUUUGUUUGCUAUUUGAAUAAGAUAUCAAGAUCUAAAAUUUCUUAAUGUUAGAAAGUCUUCACAUAGUUGCACAAUUAUUCGACUACUCAUUGAUCUUCACUUAUAUCUUUCGGAGUAGUUUGUCAUUUGCUCUAGUGCAUCACUUGUAUCAUUUAGAGCACGAAGGUGGUUAUAUUUUGUAGAAAUUGUUAGUCUCUCAUGCUUCACUUAUAUCUUUUUGAAAGUAUUUUAGAGCAGCAUGGUAUUUGCUAUGGUUACAAAGUUGGUCCUAGAAUGAUGAGCAUCCAAGUUGGGUAUAAUAAAAACUAUCAUAGAAAGUGAAUUGGAUGCUAUGAUCAACUUGAUGCUUGAUAAUUGUUUUGAGAUGUGGAGGAAGUGAUAUUAAAGGCAUGCUAGUUGGGUGAUUAUGAAUUUAAAGAAUGCUUGUGUUGAAGUUUGUGAUUCCCGUAGCAUGCACGUAUGAUGAACCACUUUGUGAUGAAGUUGGAGCACAAUUUUAUUUAUUGAUUGUCUUCCUUAUGAGUGGCUGUCGGGGACGAGCGAUGGCCUUUUCUUACCAAUCUAUCCCCCUAGGAGCAUGCGCGAAGUGCUUUGGUUUUUGAUGACUUCUAAAUUUUUGCAACAAGUAUAUGAGUUCUUUUGAUUAAUGUUGAGUCCAUGGAUUAUACGCACUCCUUCACCCUUCCACCAUUGCUAGCCUCUCUUGUACCGUGCAACUUUUGCUGGUACCAUACACCCAUCAUAGUCCUUCCUCAAAACAGCUACCAUACCUACCUAUUAUGGCAUUUCCAUAGUCAUUUCGAGAUAUAUUGCCAUGCAACUUUCCACCGUUCCGUCCAUAUGACACGCAUUACUUUUGUCAUAUUGCUUUUUGCAUGAUCAUGUAGUUGAUAUUGUAUUUGUGGCAAGGCCACCUUCAUAAUUUUCAUACAUGUCGCUCUUGAUUCAUUGCAUAUCCCGGUACACCGCCGGAGGCAUUCAUAUAGAGUCAUAUCUUGUUCUAUCUUUGAGUUGUAAAUCCAUAAAAGUGUGAUGAUCUUCAUUAUUAGAGCAUUGUCCUAGUGAGGAAAGGAUGAUGAAGACUAUGAUUCCCCCACAAGUCGGGAUGAGACUUCGGACUUUACAAAAAGAAAAAAAAAGAAAAAAAAGAGAAAGGCCAAAAAGAAAAAAAGAAAAAAAAGAGAAGGCCAAAGAAAAGAAAAAAAAGAAGAAAAAAAGAGAGAAAGGACAAUGCUACUAUCUCUUUUUCUACACUUGUGCUUCAAAAUAGCACCAUGAUCUUCAUGUUAGAGAGUCUCAUAUGUUGUCACUUUCAUAUACUAGUGGGAAUUUUUCAUUAUAGAACUUGGUUUGUAUAUUUCAAUGAUGGGCUUCCUCAAAAGUGCCCUAGGUCUUCGUGAGCAAGCUAGUUGGAUGCACCCCACUUAGUUUCUUUUGUUGAACUUUCAUACAUUUAUAGCUCUAGUGCAUCUGUUGCAUGGCAAUCCCUACUCACUCACAUUGAUAUCUAUUAAUGGGCAUCUCCAUAGCCCAUUGAUACGCCUAGUUGAUGUGAUACAAUCUUCUCCCUUUUUUGUCUUCUCCAUAAUCACCAUUCUAUUCCACAUAUAGUGCUAUGUCCAUGGCUCACGCUCAUGUAUUGCGUGAAAGUUGAAAAAGUUUGAGAUUAUUAAAGUGUGAAACAAUUCCUUGGCUUGUCAUCGGGGUUGUGCAUGAUUAAAUACUUUGUGUGAUGAAGAUAGAGCAACAGCCAGACUAUAUGAUUUUGUAGGGAUAACUUUCUUUAGCCAUGUUAUUUUCAGAAGACAUGAUUACUUUGAUUAGUAUGCUUGAAGUAUUACUAUCUCUUAUGUCAAUAUGAACUUUUAUUUUGUAUCUUUUGGAUCUGAACAUUCAUGCCACAAUAAAAAAAUUACAUUGAGAAUUAUGCUAGGUAGCAUUCCACAUCAAAAAAAUCUGUUUUUAUCAUUUACCUACUCGAGGACGAGUAGGAAUUAAGCUUGGGGAUGCUUGAUACGUCUCUAACGUAUCUAUAAAUUUUGAUUGUUCCAUGCUAUUAUAUUAUCCCUUUUGGAUGUUUAUGGGCUUUAUUUUACACAUUUAUAUCAUUUUUGGAACUAACCUACUAACCGGAGGCCCAGCCCAUAUUGUUGGGUUUUUUUGCCUAUUUCAGUAUUUCGAAGAAAAGGAAUAUCAAACGGAGUCCAAACGGAAUGAAACCUUCGGCAGCGUGAUUUUUUGGAAGAAUAUGAUCCUGGAGACUUGGAGUACACGUCAGAAGAUCCUCGAGGAGGCCACGAGAUAGGAAGCUGCGCCCCCCUUACAGGGUGGUGGCCCCCUGUCUCGUGGGCCCCUCGAGCACCUCCCGACCGACUUCUUUCGCCUAUAUAAGCCUACGUAUCCUAAAACCAUCAAAAAUCAAGAUAGAUCGGGAGUCCCGCUGCCUCAAGCCUCUAUAGCCAGCAAAAACCUCUCGGGAGCCCGUUCCGGCACCCUGCCGGAGGGGGAAUCCAUCACCAGUGGCCAUCUUCAUCAUCCCGGCGCUCUCCAUGAUGAAGAGGGAGUAGUUCACCCUCGGGGCUGAGGGUAUGUACCAGUAGCCAUGUGUUUGAUCUCUCUCUCUCGUGUUCUCUCUCAUGUUCCCUCUAUGGCACGAUCUUGAUGUAUCCCGAGCUUUGCUAUUGUAGUUGGAUCUUAUGAUGUUUCUCCCCCUCUACUCUCUUGUGAUGAAUUGAGUUUCCCUCUUGAAGUUAUCUUAUCGGAUUGAGUCUUUUAUUUGAGAACACUUGAUGUAUGUAUUGCCCUGUUUAUCUGUGGUGACAAUGGGAUAUCACGUGCCUCUUGAUGUAUGUUUUGGUGACCAACUUGCGGUUCCGCCCAUGAACCUAUGCAUAGGGGUUGGCACACGUUCUUGACUCUCCGGUAGAAACUUUGGGGCACUCUUUGAAGUACUUUGUGUUGGUUGAAUUGAUGAAUCUGAGAUUGUGUGAUGCAUAUCGUAUAAUCAUGCCCACGGAUACUUGAGGUGACAAUGGAGUAUCUAGGUGACAUUAGGGUUUUGGUUGAUUUGUGUCUUAAGGUUUUAUUCUAGUACGAACUCUUGAAUAGAUUGAUCCGAAAGAAUAACUUUGAGGUGGUUUCAUACCCUACCAUAGUCUCUUCGUUUGUUCUCCGUUAUUAGUGGAUUUGGAGUGACUCUUUGUUGCAUGUUGAGGGAUUGUUAUAUGAUCUAUCUAUGUUAUUAUUGUUGAGAGAACUUGCACUAGUGAAAGUAUGAAUCCUAGGCCUUGUUUCCUAUCAUUGCAAUACCGUUUACGCUCACUUUUAUCAUUAGUUACCUUGCUGUUUUUAUAUUUUCAUAUUAUAAAUACCUAUAUCUACCAUCCAUACUGCACUUGUAUCACCAUCUCUUCGCCGAACUAGUGCACCUAUACAAUCUACCAUUGUAUUGGGUGUGUUUGAGACACAAAAGACUCUUUGUUAUUUGGUUGCAGGGUUGUUUGAGAUAGACCUUCUUCAUCCUACGCCUCCUACGGAUCGAUAAAUCUUAGGUCAUCCACUUGAGGGAAAUUUUCUACUGUCCUACAAACCUGUGCACUUGCAGGCCCAAUAACGUCUACAAAAAAAAAAGUUGUGCAGUAGACAUCAUAGAACACGGGUCAUGAAACACUUUGUAGUACGGUGCAAGCAACACAACAAGAAUACGAAGAAGCACAAUCAAGAAUAGAGCAAAACCACAGUACUCGGCACCCGUACGACACAAUCUACCACUCAACAUCCUACAUUAAGAAAUUAAGAAUUUAGUACUAAUCUAGGACAAAAUAAGUACGUAUAUUCUGAACACAUUUUACUUGCAUAAUUCUAAGUAUGAGGUUUAAUUUAUUUAAUCUACUCUUGACUUGAGUCACUUUUUUUCAAAGAGUAUAUAUAGGAGACGUAGAACUUGAGAUGACAAAAGAUGGAUUUUUUUGAGAAACUUCUAUUUUCUUUAGGUAAGGAGGGAACCUGUCUUUCCUAAGGCUUAACAGACUCUAACUAAGUACAUGACUCUUUCCUUAACGAUGCUCUGAUACCACCUCUUCUGUGACGCCAUGUUACGUCCAACAGAGUCAGGCGUAACGGAAGCCGUCACUUCAGAGUUGCGCCAGGAUCAGUUAAGGAAAACAGUAUCAUGUACAAGACGGAGCAACUGCCAUGAGUAGGCAAGCUUUUAUUACAUAGACACCUCAAGUGUCGACUAAGCCUAAGCGACCAUGACAAUAGAUCGUCACCCGCUUCUAGUGCGAGCCUUCUAGACCAACCAUGGAGAACAUCUACUCUUCAUAGACUUGAUUGCCAACAUCCUCAUGAUCAUACUUCACUUCAGAAUAACCAUAGUCGUCAAGAUGACCAGACUCAUCAUAAGUACCAUUCUCUAGUGCCUUAGAGUUCUCAUAACUCCCUUGUUCUGAAAAACAACAUAAGUGCAGCUGAGUACGUAUAAAAUACGUACUUCGCAAGUCGCCGGGAAAAGUGGAUGCAUGAGUAUUCUUAAGAGGAAAAACUUUAUCGGCCACGGCUACCACCAUAGAGCCAUUAGCUCAAAAUACUUUGUAGGUAAAAAAAAUUAUUUUCCCUUAACCCAUUUUGUUGAAAAUCAAAUUUUAUUUAUAAAAUCUACUGGCGACAGAGCGAUGUGGGAUCUUACAUCCUGUGUUAGAGGAAAACCCACACGACGCACUUCCAAACCCGGAAGCUGGGAGUGAUAUCACAUUUAUUCUGAUCAGAGGUGUACUGCUUUGCCCAUAGCAUCACUUGGUCCAAGUCGUCCAUGCGCUACCCGUGCGCACGACUAGACCAAGGCACCAGAACCUUUAACCAGCUCGUAGACUACCUCUGCUUUUCCACCUUGCCUUACUAUAGGCCCGCGGGCCGAGACCCCUGACCGGCGGUCCCGCCCUAGGGUGACUGUACCUACCCGGCUACAGCCACCUUCUCACCCAUGCAGAGGCAAUUACUUGGCAUCGGUAGUCGGUUCAGCCCGUCCCAUUCCAGGCCUAUGGUCAGUACGGUUUGCGCCGCUUUUGACGUAAGCGCCAGUUGGUUGUGUCCUAAUGUGAUACCCUAUGUAGAGGAGUCUGCCAUCCAAGCCAACCCUACAUGGGUCGUCUUCACCAACAUGAGCUCCCAUACCCACCAAAUUUUUAGUUAUAAUGUAACCCUGCCCGGGUCACGACUACUUAAUACAGAUACUUCACCUGAUCUGGUCCAAUUGCCAAAUCAGUGGAUCCACCUGAUCCAAAUAUCAUUUUAUUUAUGAAAAGUAUUUAUUUUUAAUUCUUAUGCAAAAUUUUGGAAAUGACUCAUAGCCCGGAAAACAUUUAUGAAGACAUGAUCAAGGAGAUGACGACUUGCCGGGUAGCGCCCCGACCAACUCGAAACCACCAGAUGGGGGUUCUAUGGGUCUGAGAUCGACUCCUGAUAAUUAUUUCACAAAGAAGUUUAUAUUUUCCCUAAUCAAGAUCCAAGCAUCAAGAAACAAUUCCAUACGGUGCAAUCCAUUUUAAUUAAAGAGGCAAUGAUACAUGCUAGUGUGUAAUUAGAAGCAAAAUGCAUACAACACAUCAAGAAGUAGUACGCACAUGCACAUCACAAAGAGCAAGCAAGCAAGCUCAAAAGGAAAAAUGUGUUUAGCUGGUCGAACCCAACCCCGGCAGAAAUAUCAUUUCUUUUUUCUCCAACUAGUCAUCUUACCCAGCUCUCUUCCUCUCUCUCACUGUCACUGGUAUGCUCAGCCACGAACAUAACCAACUCCAUCUCUCUCUCCCUAACUACAGAGCAGGCCGCCGCCGGCUCGAUCUGCCACUUCCGGCCAUCUCCGGCGACACCGCGGACACCCACAGAAUCCCCUCAACUCCCUCUACCAUAUACCCCCAUUUAUUUGAUCCGCCGCCGCCAAAAUCGCCGCCACCCUCAAACCCCAGCGCCGUCUGCAUCGGGUCCGAUGGGUUCACCACGGGCCGCAGCAGCAAUGGCAUCUCCCUACCUACAAACUCCUCCUGCAGAGCUGCACGCACGAGGCGUGCAACUAUGGCCGUCAGGCGUGACCAUCUUAACCGGUGCGGCUCCGGCAACAUGGCCGCUACAGACGCCCGGCUCGCCUUUGUCUACUGCUACUAGGGUAAGUGCCAGUCCAAAUUUCUCUCUGUGCAGUGUUCUUACCUCUGCUGCAAGUGUUUGUGCUAUGACUCCCCUUACUGCCAUGCUUCUUGUUAAUCUCAAGACCAAGGAAUUAAUCAAGCUUUACUCUAUGGUGUGGACGUGGUCUCCAGAUUUAUUCUAUAUUGUUUAUUCAAUUUUUAGCUCUACUACACUAUCCUCGCACUACUAUGAUUCUUUUUUAAUUAAGCUCAUAACUAGGAAUUAACCAGUGAAUUCCUACUGUCACCGACUUGAUUAAAAAGCGACAAGUUAAUUUCUUGUGAUGGUUAGGUGCUGCCACAAACUAAAUCUAAAUGUUGCUUCUACUGUGUGUGCGCGUGCACUCAUUUCUGCACCCUACAACAGUCAAGUGAACAUCGACAUUGAUCACUCAAAACAUUCUUAGAAAGGGGAUCAUGAAAGGGAAAAUAAGAGGAUGUCAGGAAUUUAUUUGUACAAGAUUUGCACAAAGUAUGUUUUUUUUUUUUUUUUUCAGAAUGAUGCAUGUGCAAAUGAGACAAGGCAAACAUUAGCCAAACAGUGUUCAAUACAACUAGGAAGGGAUCAUUAAGAUGAGUAGCAUACACAGGAAGCUUGAGCUAUUAGCUGUACAUGUAAAUCUUAGCAAGUUAAUAUUUGGGAUUUAAUUCUCAGCAUGACAUGUCUAUUAUAUACAUAGAUCUAGUACAAGACAGAGAUGGACAUGCACAGUACACAUGCAUCACUUAACCACCAUGUACUAAUUUGUCUUCAUCUAAUAUAUGUGCUUUCUUUUUCUAACCAUCAUUCUUCUUUUUACAGAGUAACUAGAGUCCAAAAGAGCAGGUGUUCAUGUUCUAAGCAAAGGUGAAGAUGGAUCAAGCAAACAAAGCUGCAAAAGCAAGGCACUUGAAUAGUACCUGAUGGCAACUCAGCAUCCGACCAAAAGAGUGGAUGGGGAUGGUGGGGAGAGCUUGGUUCUCUCUUGUGCGUGUUGUGUGCAGUAGAGGAAGUCAAAGGUGAAAGGAGGUGGCUGCUAUUUAUAGUAGUGUAGGGUGCUAGGUCGGUUUGGUAAAAGAGAGAUGUGGCUGACAUGCCUGGUUGCAUGAGCAUGCAAGCCUCCACAUGUAAUCAUGUGAGUUGUACAACGGACAAGUGUAUAGUGCAUGGUUGGACACGAGUUGGCAUAUACUUUGUGUGUAAGGAAUGAGACAAGGGCCUAAUUGUAAAUCUGCAAACUAUAAGGGAGUUGGAGAAGAACUAAUGUACAUGGCUAAAUACUAACUUUUUUGUUGCAAUAAAUUUUUGAUAUUAGUGUUGUGGUUAAUUAUAAUUAUUCAACUAACUAUGCCUUCU